GAUGAACGCUGGCGGCGUGCCUAAUACAUGCAAGUCGAGCGAACGGACGAGAAGCUUGCUUUUCUGAUGUUAGCGGCGGACGGGUGAGUAACACGUGGAUAACCUACCUAUAAGACUGGGAUAACUUCGGGAAACCGGAGCUAAUACCGGAUAAUAUUUUGAACCGCAUGGUUCAAAAGUGAAAGACGGUCUUGCUGUCACUUAUAGAUGGAUCCGCGCUGCAUUAGCUAGUUGGUAAGGUAACGGCUUACCAAGGCAACGAUGCAUAGCCGACCUGAGAGGGUGAUCGGCCACACGGAAACUGAGACACGGUCCAGACUCUUACGGGAGGCAGCAGUAGGAAAUCUUCCGAAAGGGGCGAAAGCCUGACGGAGCAACGCCGCGUGGGUGAUGAAGGUCUUCGGACCGUAAAACGCUGUAUUAGGGAAGAACAUAUGUGUAAGUAACUGUGCACAUCUUGACGGUACCUAAUCAGAAAGCCACGGCUAACUACGUG
rnacentral:rRNA from 1 species